rnacentral:rRNA from 1 species
CCUACGGGUGGCAGCAGUGAGGAAUAUUGGUCAAUGGGCGCGAGCCUGAACCAGCCAAGUCGCGUGAGGGAAGACGGUCCUAUGGAUUGUAAACCUCUUUUUUCGGGGAGCAAAAGACGCCACGCGUGGCGUUCCGAGAGUACCCGAAGAAAAAGCAUCGGCUAACUCCGUGCCAGCAGCCGCGGUAAUACGGAGGAUGCGAGCGUUAUCCGGAUUUAUUGGGCGUAAAGGGCUCGUAGGCGGUUCGUCGCGGCCGGUGUGAAAGUCCAUCGCUUAACGGUGGAUCCGCGCCGGUUACGGGCGGGCUUGAGUGCGGUAGGGGAGACUGGAAUUCCCGGUGUAACGGGGGAAUGUGUAGAUAUCGGGAAGAACACCAAUGGCGAAGGCAGGUCUCUGGGCCGUUACUGACGCUGAGGAGCGAAAGCGUGGGGAGCGAACAGGAUUAGAUACCCGGGUAGUC